rnacentral:rRNA from 1 species
UACGUAGGGGGCAAGCGUUGUCCGGAAUCAUUGGGCGUAAAGCGCGCGUAGGCGGCCCGGUAAGUCCGUUGUAAAAGUCAAAGGCUCAACCUUUGAAAGCCGAUGGAUACUGCCGGGCUAGAAUCCGGAAGAGGCGAGUGGAAUUCCUGGUGUAGCGGUGGAAUGCGCAGAUAUCAUUUGGAACGCCAAUGGUGAAAACAGGUAGCUGGGAGUGUGCUGACACUGGAGACACGAAAGCCAGGGGAGCGAACGGG